rnacentral:rRNA from 1 species
CCCUACGGGACGCAGCAGUGAGGAAUAUUGGUCAAUGGGAGAGAUCCUGAACCAGCCAAGCCGCGUGAGGGAAGACGGCCCUAUGGGUUGUAAACCUCUUUUGUCGGAGAACAAAACCCGCGACGAGUCCCGGUCUGCGAGUAUCCGAAGAAAAAGCAUCGGCUAACUCCGUGCCAGCAGCCGCGGUAAUACGGAGGAUGCGAGCGUUAUCCGGAUUUAUUGGGUUUAAAGGGUGCGCAGGCGGACCAUCAAGUCAGCGGUAAAAUCGUGAGGCUCAACCCCUUCCCGCCGUUGAAACUGG